rnacentral:rRNA from 1 species
AGAGUUUGAUCAUGGCUCAGGAUGAACGCUAGCUACAGGCUUAACACAUGCAAGUCGAGGGGAAACGACAUCGAAAGCUUGCUUUUGAUGGGCGUCGACCGGCGCACGGGUGAGUAACGCGUAUCCAACCUGCCCACCACUUGGGGAUAACCUUGCGAAAGUAAGACUAAUACCCAAUGACGUCUCUAGAAGACAUCUGAAAGAGAUUAAAGAUUUAUCGGUGAUGGAUGGGGAGUGCGUCUGAUUAGCUUGGUUGGCGGGGGUAACGGCCCACCAAGGCGACGAUCAGUAGGGGUUCUGAGGAGGAAGGUCCCCACAUUGGAACUGAGACACGGUCCAAACUCCUACGGGAGGCA